rnacentral:lncRNA from 1 species
CACGCGGGCGGAGGGCGCGACGCCGGCUGGGACCUUAGGAAGGCCAGCUCAGAUUCUCUUAAGACAGACUCUGGAGGCUAGUGACGACCGAGACGACCCCCAUCAGCCCCGCCUCUCUCCAGACACCAGCUGCGGAUAGCGGGGCAACCAGCUCUGGGACGCGCCCAACUUGGGGAGCGUGUCGCUCGCCGGGUGCGCGCUACUCGUCGGGCUAGCACCGGGCGCCCGGGCACACGCCGCCCCCGCCCCUGUGCGCCUGCGGCUCGCGUGUCCUCCCGGGCGCCGCACUCUUCCAGGCUAGCGGCGGCAGCUCUCUCAGCGGCUCGGCCAGGAGGACAGAGAGCGCUGGGGAGAGCGACUGAACAGGGGGGCAAGUUAGGGCUUCACCCAGCUCCCCGCACUCCAGCAGCUUUCGGUCUUCUGGGUGGGAUGUGGUCGCAAAAACAGUUGCGGCGGCGGCGGCAGCCCGGAAGGCGCUGGUGCCUUCCACCUCGCUGUGGGAGAGCAGAGGAUGGAGCAGAGGACCAAGGAAAGGACGGGAGUAAGCUAGCCGGAGGAAGUCCCACGGCCGCGGAGCAUCGGUCCUGAAGAAGCCUUCUCCACACUGGACACUUUAAGCAGUGGUGGCGGUAAAAGGCGUGAGGUUGCGGACUGGGCAGCAAGCCUUCCGCGUUCCGAUAUUGCUCUGCCCUCCAGAGAAGACAAGUGAAGAAGUGUCCGGCCCGGGCGUCCACUUCAGAUAACUAAAGCAGCACUUCCUGAGACAGAGGAAGGAAGGAGUUCCCUGCCUACCGCCCUUCAUCAUCCAUUCAGCGGUCUCCUCUGUCUGGUGUGUCUUGAUCACUAUUGGCCUCCGUUCUCUGGACUAAACGCUUAAACUGCUCCUGAAGUGGAGGUACUAAUGGGCCUCCAGCAAUCGUUCUUUUCCUGGUCUCAAGAUUUAAAUGCCUCACUUGAAGCCUGGAAAGGAGGGAAGCCAGGAUGUGAGCAUCUGACUUUGAAAAACGUCUCUGUCUUCUAACCCGUCUUCUUUUGCAUAGAGGAGUAGGAACAGUGCGCCACACAGAGACAUCGUUAAAGGCAAUGAAGCUUCAAAAAAUCUAAAUUCAGAUUGCCUUCUCUACAAUUAGAGUAGCUACCUUUCUCUGGCAAUGACAGUGUCACUCCAAUAGGAUGGUGACCAGGACAAGGGCAAUGACGACAGUAACAAAGAUAAUGGUCAAAAGAAUGGAGGGAGUGCAACUAGGCAGUGUCACGUGCACCUUUAAGAGAACCACCGUUUGCACUGCCGUUUCCUCCAAGUCUGUCAUGCUCAAGAGUGAAUCGCUGCAGCCCAUCUGUACAACACGGCGAUUGUUCCACAUGGCACCAUAUUCAAGCACAGCAGAUGAUACAGUUCCUGCAGUGAAGCUGCUUUCAGUAAUUCAUGCCUCUUCUCUGACGAGGACUCCAAGUGUUCUGUCUCAGAGUCUGCUCUACACCUUUCAACAGACCACAGUUUUCCCAGAAAGGAUCCGGAAUAUGUUUCCCAACUCACAUGUGUUGCGGUAAAAAAAAAAAAAUAAAAAAAUAAAAAAGAUCAUUUGCUAUCA